UAAUAUCAAACCUUGUGAAAUUGUUUAUGUACACUAUUGAUCUGAAAAAAGUUUGUAUCAAAGAGAGAAAACUAAAAGGCGAAUUAGUCUUGAAUCGAAGAGUAGAGAGCGAUGGAAUUUGGAAGAGGUGAAUUGAAGGUAAGAGGUACAGCAGUAAUGGAGAAGAUGAAAUCAAUAGAAGAUAUUUUGAAGAUGUUGAUGGAUUCCCCAGUAGGAUUUAUCAUUUCAAUUGGGUUGAUUGUGAUUUUGUUGUCCUUAAUUUGUCGUUGCUGCUGCAGAGGAAAUAAUAAUAGGAGAAAUGUGGAGAUGAUGCGUCGUAGGAAAUAUUAUUGAAGUCAGUGACGAAGUUAGAAAUUCAAAAAGAUAAAUAAAGUUCGUAUGGAAAAUUUAACAUCUUAUAUAUACUAGAGUUCAUCUAUAAUUUUUCAACAAAGGCGAUUCAAUUGUUCCACUAGCUCCGCCCCUGAUUAUAGCAAUGUACUAAUGUGUAUUGUGUUGGCUGCACCACCAUGCCCACUGCCUGUAAUUCCUUUCUUUUUGAAUUUGAAGUUAGGAGGGUAUUACACGAGUUUGUAAAUCGAAAUGAAAAUCGAACGUUUCCUAGUUAAAAAGUGUGGAAUUUCGUUUGAAUUAUCA